GACGAACGCUGGCGGCGUGCCUAAUACAUGCAAGUUGAGCGCUGAAGGUUGGUACUUGUACCAACUGGAUGAGCAGCAAACGGGUGAGUAACGCGUGGGGAAUCUGCCUUUGAGCGGGGGACAACAUUUGGAAACGAAUGCUAAUACCGCAUAAAAACUUUAAACACAAGUUUUAAGUUUGAAAGAUGCAAUUGCAUCACUCAAAGAUGAUCCCGCGUUGUAUUAGCUAGUUGGUGAGGUAAAGGCUCACCAAGGCGAUGAUACAUAGCCGACCUGAGAGGGUGAUCGGCCACAUUGGGACUGAGACACGGCCCAAACUCCUACGGGAGGCAGCAGUAGGGAAUCUUCGGCAAUGGACGAAAGUCUGACCGAGCAACGCCGCGUGAGUGAAGAAGGUUUUCGGAUCGUAAAACUCUGUUGGUAGAGAAGAACGUUGGUGAGAGUGGAAAGCUCAUCAAGUGACGGUAACUACCCAGAAAGGGACGGCUAACUACGU
rnacentral:rRNA from 1 species